GUUCAGAUAGUUCAGUUGGCAGAGCAUCAGACUUUCAAUCUGAGAGUCUGGGGUUCAAGUCCCUGUCUGGGCA